CCUACGGGAGGCUGCAGUGAGGAAUAUUGGUCAAUGGACGAGAGUCUGAACCAGCCAAGUAGCGUGAAGGAUGACUGCCCUAUGGGUUGUAAACUUCUUUUAUAUGGGAAUAAAAUGUUCCACGUGUGGGCUUUUGUAUGUACCAUAUGAAUAAGGAUCGGCUAACUCCGUGCCAGCAGCCGCGGUAAUACGGAGGGUCCGAGCGUUAUCCGGAUUUAUUGGGUUUAAAGGGAGCGUAGGUGGAUUGUUAAGUCAGAUGUGAAAGUUUGCGGCUUAACCGGAAAAUUGCAGUUGAAACUGGCAGUCUAGAGUACAGUAGAGGUGGGCGGAAUUCGAGGUGUAGCGGUGAAAUGCGUAGAUAUCACGAAGAACUCCGAUGGCGAAGGCAGUUCACUGGACUACAACUGACACUGAGGCUCGAAAGUGUGGGUAGCAAACAGGAUUAGAUACCCUUGUAGUC
rnacentral:rRNA from 1 species